rnacentral:rRNA from 1 species
GAUGAACGCUGGCGGCGUGCUUAACACAUGCAAGUCGAACGAUGAAGCCCUGCUUGCUGGGUUACUUAGUGGCGAACGGGUGAGUAACACUUGAGUAACCUGCCCUUAACUCUGAGAUAGGCCUGGGAAACUGGAUCUAAUACCGGAUCGGAGAGUCCCCCGCAUGGAGGGUGUUGGAAAGAUUGAUCGGUUUUUGAUGGACUCGCGGCCUAUCAGCUUGUUGGUGGGGGAAUGGCUCACCAACGCGGCGGCGGGUAGCCGGCCUGAGUGGGAGACCGGCGACAAUGGGACUAAGAGACGGCGCAGUCUCCUACUGGAGGCAGCAGUGGGGAAUAUUGCACAAUGGGCGCAAGCCUGAUGCGGCGGCCCCGCGUGUGGGAUGACGGCCUUCGGGUUGUAAACCGCUUUCAGUAGGGAAGAAGCGAAGGUGACGGUACCUGCAGAAGAAGCACCGGCUAACUACGUG